AGUGAACGCUGGCGGUAGGCCUAACACAUGCAAGUCGAACGGCAGCACAGUAAGAGCUUGCUCUUACGGGUGGCGAGUGGCGGACGGGUGAGGAAUACAUCGGAAUCUACUUUUUCGUGGGGGAUAACGUAGGGAAACUUACGCUAAUACCGCAUACGACCUACGGGUGAAAGCAGGGGAUCUUCGGACCUUGCGCGAUUGAAUGAGCCGAUGUCGGAUUAGCUAGUUGGCGGGGUAAGGCCCACCAAGGCGACGAUCCGUAGCUGGUCUGAGAGGAUGAUCAGCCAAACUGGAACUGAGACACGGUCCAGACUCCUACGGGAGGCAGCAGUGGGGAAUAUUGGACAAUGGGCGCAAGCCUGAUCCAGCCAUACCGCGUGGGUGAAGAAGGCCUUCGGGUUGUAAAGCCCUUUUGUUGGGAAAGAAAAGCAGCAGGUUAAUACCCCGCUGUUCUGACGGUACCCAAAGAAUAAGCACCGGCUAACUUCGUG
rnacentral:rRNA from 1 species